CUAACAAUCCCGUAAACUAUCACAUAAACUAUAGAACAGCAUAUGAUCAAUGUAACUUUUUGUGCCAUCAUUUUCCUCAUUUGAAAAAGCUUCAAAACCAUUUACCAUGUUAUCUGUGAGGAAAGAGGAGAGAUUUCCUGAGCCAGAAAGAAUGUGGGUGUUCCCUUUCGACUGAGAAUUCCCAGCAGAGCUUCCUUCCAUGCUGCCACCUACUGACACUGUACCCCCUUUCAGCAAACCCAUUCAAAGCAAGAAAAAGUACUGCCACUCACCUUGACAGCCUAUCCUGGGUCAACCUGUGUUCAGUUGACUGUGACCAUGUGGUUGGAAUAUCCACUUGCCAGACCAUCAGCUCCCCUAGAAUCCUGGAUCUCGGAGUAGCGUUUAUCAUACUUGUGAUUAUUUAAUGUUUGUCU